UACGUAGGGCGCAAGCGUUGUCCGGAAUUAUUGGGCGUAAAGAGCUCGUAGGCGGCUUGUCACGUCGGGUGUGAAAGACCGGGGCUUAACCCCGGUUCUGCAUUCGAUACGGGCUGGCUAGAGUGUGGUAGGGGAGAUCGGAAUUCCUGGUGUAGCGGUGAAAUGCGCAGAUAUCAGGAGGAACACCAAUGGCGAAGGCAGCUCGCUGGGACGGUACUGACGCUGAGGCGCGAAAGCGUGGGGAGCAAACAGG
rnacentral:rRNA from 1 species